rnacentral:rRNA from 1 species
ACGAAGGUCCCAAGCGUUGUUCGGAAUCACUGGGCGUAAAGCGUGUGUAGGCGGCAGAGUAAGUCAGAUGUGAAAUCCCGGGGCUCAACCCCGGAACUGCAUCCGAUACUGCUUUGCUUGAGUAGCGGAGGGGCAUAUGGAAUUCACGGUGUAGCAGUGAAAUGCGUAGAUAUCGUGAGGAACACUAGUGGCGAAGGCGAUAUGCUGGACGCUUACUGACGCUCAAACACGAAGGCUAGGGUAGCGAAAGGG